UGCCGCGUGUGUGAAGAAGGCCUUCGGGUUGUAAAGCACUUUCAGACGUGAGGAAAAGCUAAGUAUUAAUACUAUUUAGCCCUGACGUUAACGUCAGAAGAAGCACCGGCUAACUCCGUGCCAGCAGCCGCGGUAAUACGGAGGGUGCAAGCGUUAAUCGGAAUUACUGGGCGUAAAGCGCGCGUAGGCGGUUAUUUAAGUCAGAUGUGAAAUCCCUGGGCUCAACCUAGGAACUGCAUUUGAUACUGGAUAGCUAGAGUAUGGUAGAGGUGAGUGGAAUUUCAGGUGUAGCGGUGAAAUGCGUAGAGAUCUGAAGGAACAUCAGUGGCGAAGGCGACUCACUGGGCCAUUACUGACGCUGAGGUGCGAAAGCGUGGGUAGCAAACAGGAUUAGAUACCCUGGUAGUCCACGCCCUAAACGAUGUCAACUAGGUGUAUGGAACUUUAUGUUCUGUGUAUCGAAGCUAACGCGAUAAGUUGACCGCCUGGGGAGUACGGCCGCAAGGCUAAAACUCAAAUGAAUUGACGGGGGCCCGCACAAGCGGUGGAGCAUGUGGUUUAAUUCGAUGCAACGCGAAGAACCUUACCUGGUCUUGACAUGUAGCGAACUUUCCAGAGAU
rnacentral:rRNA from 1 species